GAUGAACGCGGGCGGCGUGCCUAAUACAUGCAAGUCGAACGCUGGAGAUCUAGCUUGCUAGAUCGAAGGAGUGGCGAACGGGUGAGUAAUACAUAAGCAACCUACCCACGAAGACUGGGAUAAUCUCUGGAAACGGGGACUAAUACCGGAUAGGUAAUCGGAAGGCAUCUUCUGGUUAUUAAAGGUUAAAAACACUGGUGGAUGGGCUUAUGGCGCAUUAGUUAGUUGGUGAGGUAACGGCCCACCAAGACGAUGAUGCGUAGCCGGCCUGAGAGGGUGAACGGCCACAUUGGGACUGAGACACGGCCCAGACUCCUACGGGAGGCAGCAGUAGGGAAUUUUCGGCAAUGGGGGCAACCCUGACCGAGCAACGCCGCGUGAGUGAAGACGGCCUUCGGGUUGUAAAGCUCUGUUGUAAGGGAAGAACGGUAGAUAGAGAAUAUCUAAGUGACGGUACCUUACCAGAAAGCCACGGCUAACUACGUGCCAGCAGCCGCGGUAAUACGUAGGUGGCGAGCGUUAUCCGGAAUUAUUGGGCGUAAAGGGUGCGUAGGCGGCCUGUUAAGUAAGUGGUUAAAUUGUUGGGCUCAACCCAAUCCAGCCACUUAAACUGGCAGGCUAGAGUAUUGGAGGGGCAAGUGGAAUUCCAUGUGUAGCGGUAAAAUGCGUAGAUAUAUGGAGGAACACCAGUGGCGAAGGCGGCUUGCUAGCCAAAGACUGACGCUCAUGCACGAAAGCGUGGGGAGCAAAUAGG
rnacentral:rRNA from 1 species